rnacentral:rRNA from 1 species
CAAAAAGAAACGGAAUAGGGCCGCAUGGCGACGACGGUGAGGGAGAAGGUGUCGGUGAGUAAGGUGACACUCCCUCCUAAGGCUGGCUCUUUAGGUGGCAAGUCCAGGCAGCGGCCGCCGUUCUGUCCUCGACAUAUCGCGGCAGGCAGAGACUACGCGAAGCGGCGGGCCUCGACAGUGCCGAUCGCGGUGGGCAGAGGCCGCGCUAAGCGGCGGUCCUCGGUGCCCCAAGCUUCCGUCAUUCUGUCCUUAGCGGCAGCGAGUGGAGGCCGUACGACGCGCCGGACCUCGGCAACAGAACCGACCUCCGUUCUACCCUAGGCAGCGCCGAUCGAGACGAGCGGAUUCCGCGCGACGCGGUGCGGGCCGGCACCUGAACCGGCCGUCGUUUUGCCCCGGCAGCGCCGAUCACAGCGAGCGGAGGCCGUGUGGGUUCCGGUCGGGUUCCAACACCGACUGGGCGAGGGACACUCCACCACCGUGCCACCUUGACGUCGCGCACGUCGGCCACCGACUCUAAGGCGCCCUCCAGCGCGGCAGUGUCACCUUCUACGCUUGAGCUACGUUUGAGUUGUUCGUUUCCGCGUUCUUGUAUGGAUGCCUGCUACUUCACCGUCCUCGAGGCAGGUACGACUUCUUGUGGCAUCUACAACUAGGUGUCUCUCCUGUUAAAGGAUAGUUAGAACUAGAUAAGAGGAAACUAGGCCCCCGUUGUUGUUACCUUAUCUAACCAUACUCUUUCCUACCUACUUCAGUGCUUCUCUAAAACCGCCGUUAGACCACAAUCCGCCCUCUAUUUGGACAGCAAAACGACUAAAAAAUCUCGAUUGACGUUAAUCUCUCUAUGCGACCCAACAAAUUCACCACCCCAGGAUGGUCCUGUCCACAGCCGGUGGGCAACCGGGACGUGGUAUUACGCACGACCCUUGGGACGUCCUCUCGGGCUGGGUGUUUUUAAUGUGGUUGUAGGUACCUCAGGCCUUCCCUAACGCCGUUGUCUAGUUCUGCUACGUGCCUGCUUGUUGGUUGGUACUGGUGAUGUUUAUCGGCAGACAGGUUGUUCCUCUCGUAUCGAGCCCGCUAAUAACAAUCCUACACAAACCAUGUUGGUUUCCAUUGCCCUGACCAUUACCUUAGUCCAUCGCCACCCUAGUGUCGCAUUAUCCUCCUAAACGAAAAGACAAACAAAGUACGUACAUUUCCAUAGUUCAAUGUCUCGAUUGUUCUAGACGACACAUUAGUCUAACGUUUUUUUGUUUUUUUAGAGUGUCUUAGCUUCGGUUCUUGUUCGAUUG